rnacentral:rRNA from 1 species
UUUAAUGAGAGUUUGAUCCUGGCUCAGGACGAACGCUGGCGGCGUGCCUAAUACAUGCAAGUAGAACGCUGAGGUUUGGUGUUUACACUAGACUGAUGAGUUGCGAACGGGUGAGUAACGCGUAGGUAACCUGCCUCAUAGCGGGGGAUAACUAUUGGAAACGAUAGCUAAUACCGCAUAAGAGUAAUUAACACAUGUUGGUUAUUUAAAAGGAGCAAUUGCUUCACUGUGAGAUGGACCUGCGUUGUAUUAGCUAGUUGGUGAGGUAA